GGGGUUGUGGCUCAGUGGUAGAGUGCUUGCCUAGCAUGUGUGAGACACUGGGUUCGAUUCCUAGCACCA
rnacentral:tRNA from 1 species